AUGAACGCUAGCGACAGGCUUAACACAUGCAAGUCGAGGGGCAGCGGGGGAUAAGCUUGCUUUUCCUGCCGGCGACCGGCGCACGGGUGAGUAACACGUAUGCAACCUGCCCCUGUCAGAGGGAUAAUCCGGAGAAAUCCGGUCUAAUAUCGCAUAAAGCGUUUGCGGGGCAUCCUGCGAGCGCCAAAGGAGUAAUCCGGACAGGGAUGGGCAUGCGGCGCAUUAGCUAGUUGGGGGGGUAACGGCCCACCAAGGCGACGAUGCGUAGGGGUUCUGAGAGGAAGGUCCCCCACAUUGGUACUGAGACACGGACCAAACUCCUACGGGAGGCAGCAGUGAGGAAUAUUGGUCAAUGGGCGGAAGCCUGAACCAGCCAAGUCGCGUGAGGGAAGACGGCCCUAAGGGUUGUAAACCUCUUUUGCCGGGGAGCAAAAGCGCCGUGCGCGGUGCUAUGAGAGUACCCGGAGAAAAAGCAUCGGCUAACUCCGUGCCAGCAGCCGCGGUAAUACGGAGGAUGCGAGCGUUAUCCGGAUUUAUUGGGUUUAAAGGGUGCGUAGGCGGACAGUUAAGUCAGCGGUCAAAACGGGCGGCUCAACCGCCUGCCGCCGUUGAAACUGGCAGUCUAGAGUGGGCGAGAAGUACGCGGAAUGCGCGGUGUAGCGGUGAAAUGCAUAGAUAUUGCGCAGAACUCCGAUUGCGAAGGCAGCGUACCGGCGCCCGACUGACGCUGAGGCACGAAAGCGUGGGGAUCGAACAGGAUUAGAUACCCUGGUAGUCCACGCAGUAAACGAUGGACACUAUCUGUUCGGGUCGAGAGAGAUCUGAGUGGCACAGCGAAAGCGUUAAGUGUCCCACCUGGGGAGUACGCCGGCAACGGUGAAACUCAAAGGAAUUGACGGGGGCCCGCACAAGCGGUGGAGCAUGUGGUUUAAUUCGAAGCAACGCGAAGAACCUUACCAGGUCUUGACAUCCUUUGACCACUCUAGAGAUAGAGCUUUCCCUUCGGGGACAAAGUGACAGGUGGUGCAUGGUUGUCGUCAGCUCGUGUCGUGAGAUGUUGGGUUAAGUCCCGCAACGAGCGCAACCCCCAUCCGCAGUUGCCAGCAGGUAAAGCUGGGGACUCUGCGGAGACUGCCGGCGCAAGCUGAGAGGAAGGCGGGGAUGACGUCAAAUCAGCACGGCCCUUACGUCCGGGGCGACACACGUGUUACAAUGGCAGGGACAGAGGGAAGCCACCGGGCGACCGGGCGCGGACCCCGAAACCCUGUCUCAGUUCGGAUCGGAGUCUGCAACUCGACUCCGUGAAGCUGGAUUCGCUAGUAAUCGCGCAUCAGCCAUGGCGCGGUGAAUACGUUCCCGGGCCUUGUACACACCGCCCGUCAAGCCAUGGAAGCCGGGAGUGCCUGAAGUGCGUGACCGCAAGGAGCGCCCUAGGGUAAAACCGGUGACUGGGGCU
rnacentral:rRNA from 1 species